CAGCCAUCAGCUACGCUACAGCAGCUUUGGCAGCUGCUGGUAGUCCAGUUUCCUAGCCCCUUGGAAAUCACUUCCCAGAGGAGCUGCUGUUGGAUAAUCAGGGAUACUAGUCAGAAGAAGCUCUUACUUCUUGAGAUGCUGUCCUGAUACACAGAUGUCUGGAAACUUGGAAAAGAUGAGACAUUCCUGUAAUCCUAACACUCAGGAUACACAGGCAGAAGGAUUACAAGUUCAAGGGCAUCUGACAUCCCACACAGACAUACAUGCAGGCAGAACACCAAUGUAAGUAAAAUAAAAAUGGGGAAAUGAACCAAUUGUAAAUAUG